rnacentral:lncRNA from 1 species
GGCGCUGAUAGCUGGACCGCGCCUCAACCGAGCUUGGUCCUUCCCUUUAGUCCCGCCCCACUGCUCCGCGCGGAUUGGCGGCGGGAAGCAGCUCUGGCGCUGAUUGGGCGGCGGUGGAGUCGCUCGUGGAGACGGUAAGUUCGGGUGCCCCAGAGUGCUAAAUUUAUCUUCAGACAAGCGACCGCGCCAGCCGCGAAUCGGAUGGCUAUGGAGGUGGCAUAGGCGAUAUCCCUGAGCCGAGAGCAUCACCCUGUCCCCGAAUCCUUCUUUCCUCUGUUUUGUUUUUCAUUUACCCCCUUCCUUUCUCCCUUCUCCCCCCCUCCAGUCCGCGACGACUGGCUCUUGACCCUGUUCAGGCCUCGGUGAAGGCUUUUGGUUACUCCCCUUCCACCCUAUCCCUUAAUUUAAUUUUUUCGAAGAAUCUACAUUUCAAGCUGCCAAGGUGGAGAGUGUGACUACAGAAGGGACUGCUUCUCAUUUCAGGUAUCUUACUCUCUAGCUGUUACUAGGAAAACCAUUUUGAUUCAGGAUCUAAUAUGAGAACCCAGUGCUUACUCUGUAGCCAAAUCAUAAAGUUUAAAUCAAAAGUAGCUUUAUUUAGAUAGAUACUAAAUUUGAAUGCCUUAACUUAUAAGCCAGUACUCUUCAGCGGUCCUAAAAUUUGCAUUACCGUUCCAUUUAAUUAUGCUUUUUAAAAGCUGUUAUAUGAAGAAUAUACCUAUUAAAAUGAGAGUUUAUGUUUUCUUUAGGUCUUUGUUAAGCCUUCAGUAAAGAAUAAUAGGGUGCAGAGUAAUCAGUAAAAUCUAUACAUUACUUUGAAUAGGUCUUAUUUUGGAUAAUGUAAAUAUUUAUGUCAUUUUAAGUCCAGAGAAAUAGUAACUAACUUUUGGUUUAUAGUUUACUUUUCAAUGUUAACACAGUAUUUAGGAUGCAGCAGGAUUCUGUGUUUUGCAAAACUUUGAACUAUGUGUGUUUUUGACAUAGCUCUUCAGAAUAGUUGCUAGCCCUGAAAGGAGCCUUCAGAUGUAUAAUAGUGUCAGCAAUUAAUGUGUCUAAUGGCAGUAGGCACCAGAAAGCUAAAAGAGAUUCCAGGAUACUGUGUCCAUGAAAGGGGUUGGUAAAUUAUGGCCCCAUCCUGUUUUUAUAAAUAGAGAUUAGUUAGAAUACAGCUGGGCCCGUUCUUUAAGGUAUUGUCUAUGGCUGCUGCCGUGCCACAAGUACAAACUU